rnacentral:misc_RNA from 1 species
GUGUAUCAUAACUUUUUGUGGCAUAGAUAUCUGCAAUAAAAGAGUGAUAGCACAGCAAUCCCUUUCAUUUCAGAGUGCCUUUGCCUCAAAGAAAGCAAGAAGAACCAUAUUAAAGCGUAGCUUUACAAUGACAAAAGCAAAGCUUCUUAGUGAGAAUUAAGGGAUAUAUUUGAGUUAUCCUUCAAAAACAAUUUGCAGGGAGGGGGGAGAGAG